GACGAACGCUGGCGGCGUGCUUAACAUAUGCAAGUCGAACGGAAAGGCCCUGCUUUUGUGGGGUGCUCGAGUGGCGAACGGGUGAGUAACACGUGAGUAACCUGCCCUUGACUUUGGGAUAACUUCAGGAAACUGGGGCUAAUACCGGAUAGGAGCUCCUGCUGCAUGGUGGGGGUUGGAAAGUUUCGGCGGUUGGGGAUGGACUCGCGGCUUAUCAGCUUGUUGGUGGGGUAGUGGCUUACCAAGGCUUUGACGGGUAGCCGGCCUGAGGGGGCGACCGGCCACAUUGUGCCUGAGAUACGGACCAGUCUCCUACGGGCGGCAGCAGUGGGGAAUAUUGCACAAUGGGCGGAAGCCUGAUGCAGCAACGCCGCGUGCGGGAUGACGGCCUUCGGGUUGUAAACCACUUUCGCCUGUGACGAAGCGUGAGUGACGGUAAUGGGUAAAGAAGCACCGGCUAACUACGUG
rnacentral:rRNA from 1 species